rnacentral:rRNA from 1 species
GACGAACGCUGGCGGCGUGGAUUAGGCAUGCAAGUCGAACGGUAUCAUCCUUUCGGGGGUGAGAGAGUGGCGAACUGGUGAGUAACACGUAGGUUAUCUACCCUCAAGACGGGGACAACCCAGGGAAACUUGGGCUAAUACCGGAUGUGAGCAACUUUUAGUUGUUUGAAAGGUGGCGUAAGCUGUCGCUUGGGGAUGAGCCUGCGUCCUAUUAGUUAGUUGGUGAGGUAACGGCUCACCUAGGCAAUGAUAGGUAGGCGGCCUUAACGGGUGGUCGCCCACACUGGGAUUGAGAUACGGCCCAGACUCCUACGGGAGGCAGCAGUCGAGAAUAGUCUACAAUGGUCGGAAGACUGAUAGUGCGACGCCGCGUGAACGAUGAAUCCCUUCGGGGUGUAAAGUUCUUUUAUAUGUGAGCAGUGCUUCUUAUAUUAACAGUAUGGGGAAGAGAUAUUAGCAUAUGAAUAAGCAACGGCUAACUCCGUGCCCAGCCAGCCGCGGU